GAAGGCAGGACUCCCUGACCAUGUCCACCACGGCCUGGUGCCCUCUGCUCCUCACCCUGGUCGCUCUCUGCACAGGAUCCUGGGCGCAGGCUGUGCUGACUCAGCCGCCCUCCGUGUCCGGGUCCCCAGGUCAGACAGUCACCAUCUCCUGCACUGGGAGCAGCAACAGCAUUGGGCGUGGUUACGGUAGUUGGUACCAACUGAUCCCAGGAUCGGGCCCCAGAACCCUCAUCUAUGUUGAAACCAAUCGAGCCUCAGGGGUCCCCGAGCGAUUCUCUGGCUCCAGGUCUGGGAACACAGCCACCCUAACCAUCAGUUCGCUGCAGGCUGAGGACGAGGUGGAUUAUUACUGGGCAGCUUUCGACACUAGCAGCAAUGAUGGCACAGUGGUCCAGGCCAGGGGGGAAAUGAGAGAAAAACCUGCUCUGCUCCAGACAUGGGCCUCUCAGGGCUGA